CCAAGCCCCGGAAGGGCUCAGGGACGGGCCAUGGCCGUACAGCGACAUGGCGGCGCCCGCGGUGAGUGUUUGCCAGGCGCUGCAGGGCCACGGCGAACCCCGGGCUUUUCUCCAGCCGCCGAGAAUUUUCCUGGCGAACAGCCCGAGCUCUCGGUCCCUGUGUGCCCUCGGGGAUGGGAAUCGGCGCCUGGCCACAGCCGCGCUGGGGCUGCGGCUGCCCCUGCCCCUGCCCUUGUGCCUGUUGCUGCUCCCGGGUGCCGUCAUAGUGAUCCAUGUCUCUAGGAGGAGGAGGUUGCUCCAGGAAGUGCAGAUGGUUGGUGAAGGCUGUGGUUUCAGGGAGCUGAUCUUUCGUCCUGAAAAGGGGACUUAGGAUGUUGGUGGUACAUGGUCUGACAGCGGGAUGGCUUGUGGAUCAUCUCUCUUUCAUCAACCAGUGUGGCUAUGAGAUCUGUGACUCCUUUGCACACCCUGGUGGUGUCACUCACAGCACUUCUGUCACAUCUACUGAAGACUGUUACAGUAUUUCUACUUUUGCUGCCACGCCCUCAUCAAGCGAUAGUCCUCCUUUUGAUCCCGGAGAUGCCGUAGAAGCAGAAGGUAAAAGAGCAAAAAUGAGAUACGUGUUUUGGGAGGAGUUCUUGGAUAUUUCUAAGCCCUAUAUAGCUGCAGCUUGUGAGGAGCAGCCGUGUCCUGCCCUCAGGUGAGUCUGGCAGAAGUAAAGGCCAACAGCAACAGAGAGGAAUACCAAGAAGGAGCAAAGAGUGACACUGGAGAUUCUCUUGCCACUGCUAGGAAGAAAGGUGAAAGGAAAUGUGUAUUCAACCAAGGUGAACUGGAUGCUUUGGAAUACCAUUCAAAUGUAAGUUGGAAAAAAUGUAUAUUUUGCAAGUAAAAGCUACUUGACUUUGGGCAUGUGCAAAGUAGAGGGCAUGGUUGCAAACAAAUUCUGUUUUUGUAGCUUGUUCCACUGGUGCAAAGAAGGAAAGGAAGGUCAGUCUCUCCAAUCCUUACAUGAAUUCAUGCUUACAGAGUAGAUCUUUUAUGUAGACACAUGUGAAAUUGCAUCUGAGACAUUACAGAGAGCUGGAAGCUGCAUCCACAAAAUAACUUGUACUGCUGUAUGUUAUAAGGGAUUUUUUCCUUGAACUUGGGAGGUUAAUUAAAGUUGUUAUUGUUAGAGAGUUCAUUGAUAUGUUUAAUUAUGUUGUAAGAUUGUUAAGAUAAUUGUUGAGUGUAUUUUAGAAUGUUUGGGGUUGGGGUUGGUAUUGGAUUGGGGGUUGGGCGGAUAAAAUGGGGGAUUGGUAAGAGAUAUAAGAGGGCUUAUGGGGACAUGGAAUGGAACAUUCAAGAACAUGAUGUCAUCAGCAGAGUGAGUAAGGAUUGGAAGAAAUAUCCACCAAUCAUUUGACGCCCUGGGAAAAUGAUUGGACCAGGAUGAACGUGGCUAUGGACCAAUCAGAGCCCAAGAAAGCAGCCAAUCCUAAGACGGAUCCAAAACAGACCAAUCCAAGCCUAAGGGAGGGUAUAAAAUAGGGUGUUACAUGUUAGCGGGGACUUUUCUUUCUUUUCUUGUGGGGCUUUUUCCGUUGUUCGUGAGUUUUGUUCGAUACGUUGUUACUGUCCCGGUCUGUAGCGUGGAGCACACGGGACUAGCCUAUGUCUCCCUUCGGCUGCAGCUCAGUAUUAAUAAACAGGCCAGGCUUUAAUUACACCAGAAAGUCUCGAGCCUCGUUUAUAACACUAUAGAUAACUGAACAUUAUGUUGUGAUGAGUUAAAUAUUAGGAAGUGAUCAAUUUGAAAUUGGCAGCAUAACCCAUUCUGAAGAUCAGCUCUUCAGCAUUUCAUGACACUGUGCUGAGUUACUCAAAGCUUUUGGGACCUUUGAAGAAAAUGUGCUUCAAAGUAUCUUAUUCUGCAAUUGAAAAAAAAAAAAAAACAAACAACUUUUCCCUAACAUUUUAUAUUGUCCUACUAAAGGAUCAUGCAUUAAUUGGAAUUCUAAUCUAUGUGUUUAUGUCAGUGAUGUGCUGGUGAAGAUACAGCUGAUUAAUACUGAAGCAUAAUAGUGAAUAGUAGAAAUAAAAUCUGUAGGUAAUGUUUGAUGUAUUUUACUGCUUUCCCAAAUAGUGAUGUGAGCCUGAACUGGGAGCUACACUUGCUUUCUUUCCUUUGGCAAAGAUGUUAGUCAUAUUGGGCUUUUAUUCUUAAAUCUGUUCUGCUUGAACUACAUUUAGAUGAUUAUGCUUUUUUCCUUUUACACGGCAGCAAUCUUGUAGUAAAGAUUUGCAGCUUGCUGAUACAGUGUAGAGGUCCUGGGAUUAUUUUUGUGAGUAAGCUGUGCAUGUGCAAAAUCACCACAAAGGAAAAAACUUUGAAGUUCAGCAUGAAGUUCAACAUGAGUAUGAAAACUUCAGGGCAAAAAUAAAAUCAUUCAACAGUAGAAAUAAGGAAAGAAAUGAAGUCUUGAAGGCUUGUUUAACUUCAAAUGAUAUUUGGUAAAUAUGUAGAAAAGACAGAGUUUGGAAAAAUCUGUGACCCCAGUUAGCCUCUUCUAUCAUUCACAGAUUAGAAAGUAGUAUUGGGUUUUUGCUAUAUUUGUGUUGUUGAAGGUUAUAGCUCUGCAAGUCAACCCAGAUUAUUUUGACAUGUAUUUGUUUCUAUAGAGUCAUUGUCAAAAAACCCAAAGAACGCCAGUUUUGUUUCUGCAAAUGAAUCUAUGAAUUUUAGCUAUUGAAUCCAUUUAUGAAUUCCAGUCAGUGGCAACAGUACAAAAUAUGCUAAAUUCCUUCAGCAGCCAUUUGUUAAAACUGCUUCAAUAGCUUGAUAGACAGGAGACUUUGUCCACUUUGUCCACCUGUGAGUUAACGCAUGCAUGUAAGAGGGUGUUGUUUCUAAAGAUAUAUUCAUUAAUUCUGUUGAAACAGUAUGACCUCCUCUUAUCACAAACCAAGGUAGUAAAAAUUUAUGACUCUGUACUCUCUGAUAUCUAGAGGUGGCACUAUUAAAUUAUUAAAAAAAAAAAUUCUUCCCCUGUCACUAAUCUGGGAAUUGUAAUAAAGUAUAUUUUGUAAAACCCUCUUGUAGUCUUGAAGAUUCUGUAAUCAGAAGCAUUUGAAACCUUUAAUAAAGCCACUCUAACUGACAAUGGACGAAUGGAUAAACACACCUCACUGACAAUCAAAAGACAUAAAGGCUCCAUGAUUUGGGUAUAAAAUGGUGUGGGGGGCAAAGAUUUGUUUUUGGAUAAGCAGUGUUAAAGUGAGAGGUGUGUCUUUAAAGGCCAGGAAAAGUCAAUUCCACCCUCUGCCUCAGGAGAUGUGCCCUGUGAGCCCAGGAUGAGUUGCCCCACCUGCAGACCCCUGGUGGGGUGGCAGCCCAGGGUGUUGUGAUGUGUUUUGUGCCCCUGGGUUUCUCCUUUGCUCUGUCCCUAUUAGACCCUGACCUUAAACUCCAGCCUGGCUCUGUUCCAUAAAACCCCCACCCUGCCUCUGCUCUGUAUUCUCUGUCUCUGGAUUUAAGAUGAAUUUGUUCCUGUGUUGAAUAAAUGGUUUCCUGACAUUAACCAAGCAGAGACCCGUCUCGUUGAGUCCCUUGUUGGUCACCAGAACCCAUAACCUCCCUGGACUUGAUCCUGCAGCUGCGGAACGCAGCAAAACAGGUCUCUAAAUUUUGUGAAGGUGCUGAAGUGAAUAACAGUGUAUAUAGGUCCAGGAAUUGUGUCAUCCUGGACUGACUAACAGGCUAUUUGAGAGGUUUGCCACUUAGAAAAGUUACAAAAAUCAAAUUCUGAUACUUUGAUUUACUGAUUGUACUUCUGUAUUACUGUAAAAUGCAUAAACUGUUGUUUUAUGAAGUGAAUUGAAAUGUGGAAAAUGACUUAUUUUUAGAUCCCAGUAUACAUUUCAAUUAAAAGUAUGUUCAUGGGCACAGUGACUUGAAAUUAGAAUUUUCAAUUAAACUUCAGAUAGUUGCUUUGAAAUUUGAAAUUCAAAUGUUUGGUUGAAACAAUGAUAUUCCACGUCUGCUGUCUGAAAUGUUUUAUUCAGUAGUUUCACAUUCUUUCUUUCUCCAGCCUUCUAAUUAUUGUAACUUUACCAAAAAAUGAAAAACAACAGCAGAAGUUUGCGUGGUGUCCUGGUAUUGGAUUUGAUCUAUGGCUGGCUGCUACUUCCAUCUGUCAAUUAUAUCGUCCUCAAAAAUACUAAAAUGCAGAGUGUUUCAGAGAUUAUGUAAACCAGUGUUAAGAUAACACAUUUCCUAUUAAUUGUCUAUCAUCAAAAUAUAAAAAUGAAUCUCAACUAUCCACAUUUGUAAGAAGAGAAAUUAGCAUUCUCCUUAAUGAAAAGCAAAAUUUCUUGCUCUUGUCUAUGUUUUCAGAAUAGUCCAAAGUCGUCUUCACCUACAUCAAAACCAGUAUUUUAGAGAGAGUUACAGACUUCCUUGCUUAUUUUAUGAAGUGGUUUCUCAAUAAUCUACUGGCAGUAAUUAAGUGUCAGUAAGGUCAUCAAAUCAAGUUCUCUUUCACAAGACUUGGAAAAAAAUUGUAGGCAUCACAAUGUAUCAAUGCAGCUUCAUCCAAAUUUGUUUCUAAAUGAAAAGAAAAUUGCAAAUUUAAAAGACAAUAUGUAAAAUGUCCCAAGCUCCCAUGAAAAUUAACCUUAAUUUCAUCCUGCAUAUUCAAAUAUCUAGAUUAAAAUCUACCUGAAGAGACUUUCAUUAAGAAGCUAAUACUGGUUACAAAUUAAGAGUGCCUCACAACCAGCAGUAAUGCUAAGGAAAGCAGCAAAAUAUUGAGAAAUCACUAGAGAGUAAUGAACUUCAGAAAUAACAGUAACUAUUUGGUGAUAUAAACUUGAGAAUUUAGAACAUGCACCACAAACCUGACAGUGUCUUAAAUUAAUGAGAAAAUAUAUCUAUAAAAUAACGUAUUGCCAUUUAUUCUUACUAGAAGAGGUUAAUAUUUUACAGGAAAAGAUUAGCAGACUUGACCUGAAUUUUUGUUGCUAAUCACACGAGGUUUAGACCAUCUCUAGUAUAAUCACUGAGCAAGCAAAACUUCUUUUUUUUGCCUUAAAAAAUACUUUUUAAGGGCCCUUGCGUGCUAUUACAAAGCACAGCUUCCCAUAGCCAAAACCUUCACUUCAAAUUUUUAUUUCGGUGGGUGGUCCCUAAGCCCACUAAGCAUUACACUGUGGAAUAAAAAUCACCAAAGCAAUUUCAGUCAUAUAAAAAUGAGCUUAUGUAUCAAAAAAACCCAAACCCUAACUGCAUUUUUGCUCAGUAUCUUCUCAGAUAUUUGAUCAAUUAAAUCUUUGAGACAGGAUAGGUUUGCUUUUUUGUAUAAAAAAGUACUGUGUAUGGCACCAGGCAAGAACUGCAUCCAGACUUAGGAAGGAAAUUUCCAGCUGUAAAGCCAGUUCUGUUUACCAUUUUUUCACUCCAUUAUUAACAAUUUCACUAACCUUAAAGCCUGUUUAGGCAUAACAAAAUUAACUUUUUGAUUUUAGAGUCUUAAAGGACAUUUCUCUGAAUAACAUUUCUUAAAAAAGAAAUGGUUUUGCUCAAGCAAAGCACAAUUAAUGUCAGCUAAUUUUUAGUAUUUUUUACAAAACUGACAUGCUGCUAAAUAACAAGUUGGAAGAAGUAAACCAUUUAAAAGGCAAAUCUGAUUUACAUGUAGGAAACUGUUUCUUGUUCACUCAUCAUCAGAAUUACUUAAACUGCAAGUCUCUGUUUUUGUGUGAAAUGCUACUGAGGAACAAAUAACAAAAUGAAGGUUGAUUCAAAACUAUCCCCAUUCUUUUUGUUUGCUUUUUACAAAUGAAAAGGAUGUCAAGCACCCCCACAAUAUUGUUCAUGAAAACAGACUCCCACUUUCUCUGCAUGAAUUUCUGGAGAGGAUGUCAUUUUCCAAAAACUACUCCUUCCACUACUGUAUUCUGCAGGAGACUUUUGGACAAUCAUUUUUUAUGGAAUGAGGCAAGAACAGUACAGUAACCUCACUUGAGUGUCACAGAUAAUAGUUCAAAUUUGAAGAACAUUUUAUCUGUUCAUUUCUGCUUUUGACAGUUGUCUGUUCAACAAACUCAGUCAGCUGAGGACAAUACGAGCUGUUUGUACACGGAUCUAGCAAGACAAGAUAAAAGAAGAUCUUCUGCAAGUUAUAUUCAUUUCUAAAAUGAAAGGGGAGAACACCCAGCUGUAAUCUUAAUCCUUGAGAGAGAAACAGUUUUACCAGCUGAGUUGAAGCAGGGGCUGUGGCUGUGGAGCUGAGGUCCUCACACGAAGCACCGAUGAAAGCGUUGCUGGUCAGCAUCACUGCAGGAUGCUGGGCUGGUUCCCUGUGCCGACAGGACACUGCUGGCUCCAGAUGUGAGCUGGGUCUUGUUAUAGAUACAUAUUAUAUUGUUGGCUUUUUGCAAAUAUUAAAAAGAAUGCUAUGUGUAUAAGAUUGGAAAAUUUUGUUGUAUUAAUAUAGUUUCCUUUAUUUCUGUUAUUGAUGAAACUUAGAAAUAGUGGUAUAAUACAUAUAUGUUGGGCUAUGGCAUAGUAUUAAAACAAAAACUACUUUUGUUUGUAUAACCCAAAGACUGAGAAAAAAUAGCUAGAGAAGCCCUGCAUUCGUAAACUAACUUAUCCAGAUGAAGACAGCAGUGACCAGAACUCUGGGGGAGGAAUUGAUUGCAUUUCUGUUAUCAGGGAAUGUAAAUCUCGAUGGCGCCAAGAAGAUUGAUCUAUUGGGAAGGGGGCAAGAGAAAACAAAACAAAAGAACACCAAAGAUCCUAAGAAGAAUGUCUGAAUAUGUAUGAGAAUUUAUGGAUACGAAGUAGGGUUCUGUUUUUAAGGGACAAUCCUUUGUUAGUAAGGGGUGCUCUGAUGUGGAUAGACAGGGAACGCCGAUCGGAAGAUCUCGCGUUGUACGUGAAGAUAGGGCCCCUCUUUCCACAAUG